GACGAACGCUGGCGGCGUGCCUAAUACAUGCAAGUCGAGCGAACGACGAGAACCUUGCUUCUCUGAUUUAGCGGCGGACGGGAGAGUAACAUGUGGGCAACCUGCCCUACGGAUUGGGAUAAGUCAGGGAAACCUGGGCUAAUACCGCAUAAUCCUUCGAAUAACAAGUUUUGAAGUUGAAAGCCGCGUCGGCGGCACUGUAGGCGGGGCACGCGGUGCAUUAGCUAGUUGGUGGGGUAACGGCCUAACAAGGGAACGAGGCAUAGACGACCUGGAAGGGUGAUCGGCCACAUUGGGACUGGGACAAGGCCCAACCUCCUACGGGAGGCAGCAGUAGGGAAUCUGCCACAAUGGACGAAAGUCUGAUGGAGCGACGCCGCGUGAGUGAUGAAGGUUGUCGGAUCGUAAAACUCUGUUGUAAGGGAAGAACAAGUACGUUAGGAAAAGAACGUACAUUGACGGUACGUUAUUAGAAAGCCACGGCUAACUACGUGCCAGCAGCCGCGGUAA
rnacentral:rRNA from 1 species